rnacentral:rRNA from 1 species
GACGAACGCUGGCGGCGUGCUUAACACAUGCAAGUCGAGCGGUAAGGCUCCUUCGGGAGUACACGAGCGGCGAACGGGUGAGUAACACGUGAGCAAUCUGCCCUUCACUUUGGGAUAACUUCCGGAAACGGAAGCUAAUACCGAAUACGACCAUUACAGACAUCUGUUGAUGGUGGAAAGUUCCGGCGGUGAAGGAUGAGCUCGCGGCCUAUCAGCUAGUUGGCGGUGUAAUGGACCACCAAGGCGACGACGGGUAGCUGGUCUGAGAGGAUGGCCAGCCACAUUGGGACUGAGAGACGGCCCAGACUCCUACGGGAGGCAGCAGUGGGGAAUCUUCCACAAUGGACGAAAGUCUGAUGGAGCAACACCGCGUGCAGGAUGACGGUCUUCGGAUUGUAAACUGCUUUUAUAUAGGAAGAUUAUGACGGUACUAUAUGAAUAAGGACCGGCUAACUACGUGCCAGCAGCCGCCGCGGUAAC